rnacentral:rRNA from 1 species
CAGCCGCCGCGGUAAUACGGAGGGGGCUAGCGUUGUUCGGAAUUACUGGGCGUAAAGCGCACGUAGGCGGCUGUGUAAGUCAGAGGUGAAGGCCCGGGGCUCAACCCCGGAAUAGCCUUUGAGACUGCAUAGCUUGAACACGGGAGAGGUGAGUGGAAUUCCGAGUGUAGAGGUGAAAUUCGUAGAGAUGUGGAGGAAUACCGAAGGCGAAGGCAGCCCCUUGGGAAUGUACUGACGCUCAUGUGCGAAAGCGUGGGGAGCAAACAGGAUUAGAUACCCCGGUAGUCCCUGUCUCUUAUAC